GACGAACGCUGGCGGCGUGCUUAACACAUGCAAGUCGAACGGAAAGGCCCUGCUUUUGUGGGGUGCUCGAGUGGCGAACGGGUGAGUAACACGUGAGUAACCUGCCCUUGACUUUGGGAUAACUUCAGGAGACUGGGGCUAAUACCGGAUAGGAGCUCCUGCUGCAUGGUGGGGGUUGGAAAGUUUCGGCGGUUGGGGAUGGACUCGCGGCUUAUCAGCUUGUUGGUGGGGUAGUGGCUUACCAAGGCUUUGACGGGUAGCCGGCCUGAGAGGGUGACCGGCCACAUUGGGACUGAGAUACGGCCCAGACUCCUACGGGAGGCAGCAGUGGGGAAUAUUGCACAAUGGGCGGAAGCCUGAUGCUGCAACGCCGCGUGCGGGAUGACGGCCUUCGGGUUGUAAACCGCUUUCGCCUGUGACGAAGCGUGAGUGACGGUAAUGGGUAAAGAAGCACCGGCUAACUACGUG
rnacentral:rRNA from 1 species